GCUGCCUUGGCUCAGUCGGUAGAGCACUUCCUUGGUAAGGAAGAGGUCGGCAGUUCAAGUCUGCUAGGCAGCUCCA
rnacentral:tRNA from 1 species